CCUACGGGUGACAGCAGUGGGGAAUAUUGGGCAAUGGGCGCAAGCCUGACCCAGCAACGCCGCGUGAAGGAAGAAGGCUUUCGGGUUGUAAACUUCUUUUAAGAGGGAAGAGCAGAAGACGGUACCUCUUGAAUAAGCCACGGCUAACUACGGACCAGCAGCCGCGGUAAUCAGUAGUUUGCAAGCGUGGUACGGAUUUACUGGGGGUAAAGGGCGGGUAGCCGGGCUGACAAGUCAGAUGUGAAAUUCCGGGGCUCAACCCCGGACCUGCAUUUGAAACUGUUGGUCUUGAGUAUCGGAGAUGCAGGCGGAAUUACUAGUGGAGCGGUGAAAUGCGUAGAUAUUAGGAGGAACACCAGUGGCGAAGGCGGCCUGCUGGACGACAACUGACGGUGAGGCGCGAAAGCGUGGGGAGCAAACAGGAUUAGAUACCCUUGUAAUC
rnacentral:rRNA from 1 species